rnacentral:rRNA from 1 species
ACUAGCAUAUCAAUAAGCGGAGGAAAAGAAACCAACAGGGAUUACCUCAGUAACGGCGAGUGAAGCGGUAACAGCUCAAAUUUGAAAGCUGCCAACAGGCCGCGUUGUAAUUUGUAGAAGCUGCUUUGGGUAUUGGCCCGGUCUAAGUUCCUUGGAACAGGACGUCAUAGAGGGUGAGAAUCCCGUAUGUGAUCGGUGCCGGCGCCCGUGUAAAGCGCUUUCGACGAGUCGAGUUGUUUGGGAAUGCAGCUCAAAAUGGGUGGUAAAUUUCAUCUAAAGCUAAAUAUUGGCCAGAGACCGAUAGCGCACAAGUAGAGUGAUCGAAAGAUGAAAAGCACUUUGGAAAGAGAGUUAAACAGUACGUGAAAUUGUUGAAAGGGAAGCGCUUGCAACCAGACUUGCGGGCGGUCGAUCAUCCGAGGUUCUCCCCGGUGCACUCGAUCGUUCUCAGGCCAGCAUCGGUUUCCGGGGUGGGAUAAAGACGGUGGGAAUGUGGCUCUUCGGAGUGUUAUAGCCCACCGUGCAAUGCCGCCACCGGGGACCGAGGACCGCGCUUCGGCUAGGAUGCUGGCGUAAUGGUUGUAAGCGACCCGUCUUGAAACACGGACCAAGGAGUCUAACAUCUAUGCGAGUGUUUGGGUGUCAAACCCAUACGCGUAAUGAAAGUGAACGGAGGUAAGACCCCUUUAGGGUGCAUUAUCGACCGAUCCUGAUGUCUUCGGAUGGAUUUGAGUAAGAGCAUAGCUGUUGGGACCCGAAAGAUGGUGAACUAUGCGUGAAUAGGGUGAAGCCAGAGGAAACUCUGGUGGAGGCUCGCAGCGGUUCUGACGUGCAAAUCGAUCGUCAAAUUUGCGUAUAGGGCGAAAGACUAAUCGAAACCAUCUAGUAGCUGGGUUCUGUUGA